UAUAAAAUCAUGUAACGAUGUUAUAAAUAGGUAUUUUCUUUAGUUACAUUCUGCCCUAGCAGAGAAGAAAUUAGUAAAGUAUCUCUUUGAAUGUCUAACAGCUUUUUAAGAAAAGAAAAAAAGGCUGGAAUGAAUUAGUCUCCUAGAACAAAGAGUAGUUACCAAUCUGCCUCGUGCCUCAUUCAUUCAGUCCUCACAUCAGAUCCCUCAUUCCGAUUUCCACCUCUCAAUUCUAGAACUAUCACUGCCUAUCAAAAGAUUAAAGAACAAGAAAGUACUGAAAAAAUGUGUGACUAUCCUCUAGAUUCAAGAACUUUGCAGAUGAAAUUUUACCUCUGGGAGGGAUGGCUUUGUUUCCUCUCUGACCCCUGCAGUACAGAAUGGGACUCCCAACUGGCAAAUUCCUUCUAAUUAAUAGGCUUCAAAAAAUGGAACAUCGAGUUGGAAUCAACAGUGACUGAAAACCUAAGCAAGUAAAAGUAAUCAAGCAUCAACGGUGAUCAGAAAGUAAAUACACAAGACACAGAAGAGACAGGAUACAAAAGUUCCCCUCAAAUCAGGAACCGCAGCCUUGUGGCAACAUUACCAAAAGGGCCUUUCGCUGUCAUUUGUUUUUAUACCACCUCAAAUAAUAUGUUAAUAUAAGAUGUACGAGUGCAAAAAAAAAAUCAGCGUACAUUAUUACAGA